rnacentral:rRNA from 1 species
CCGAGUUCUACCAAACCUAACCAAACUCCGAAUACCAUCGAGUAAUAUCCGGGAGACAGACGGCGGGUGCUAAGGUCCGUCGUCAAAAGGGAAACAGCCCUAACCUACAGCUAAGGUCCCCAAGUCAUCACUAAGUGGGAAAGCAUGUGGGAUUUCCAAAACAACCAGGAGGUUGGCUUAGAAGCAGCCAUCCUUUAAAGAAAGCGUAACAGCUCACUGGUCUAAUUAAGAGAUCCUGCGGCGAAGAUGUAACGGGGCUAAAGUGAUGCACCGAAGCUUAGGGUUUGGACUUCGGUCCAAGCGGUAGCGGAGCGUUCCGUAGGCCGAUGAAGCCAUCUGGUAAUGGGUGGUGGAGGUAUCGGAAGUGCGAAUGCUGACAUGAGUAGCGAUAAAGAGGGUGAGAUGCCCUCUCGCCGAAAUCCCAAGGGUUCCUGCGCAAGGCUAAUCCGCGCAGGGUGAGCCGGCCCCUAAGACGAGCCCGAAGGGGGUAGUCGAUGGGAACCACGUUAAUAUUCGUGGGCCUGGAGGUGUGUGACGGAUCUCGUAAGUUGUCGGUCCUUAACGGAUUGGACCGGCUUCGAAGAGGUUCCAGGAAAUAGCCCCUCCGUAUAGACCGUACCCUAAACCGACACAGGUGGGAUGGUAGAGUAUACCAAGGCGCUUGAGAGAAGUGUGCUGAAGGAACUCGGCAAAUUGCCUCCGUACCUUCGGAAGAAGGAGGCCCUCAUCGUGCGCAAGCACUUUGAGGGGGCACAGGCCAGGGGGUAGCGACUGUUUAGCAAAAACACAGGGCUCUGCUAAGUCGGCUUCAAGACGACGUAUAGGGUCUGACGCCUGCCCGGUGCCUGAAGGUUAAGUGGAGUGGUGCAAGCUGCGAAAUGAAGCCCAGGUAAACGGCGGCCGUAACAAUAACGGUCCUAAGGUAGCGAAAUUCCUUGUCGGGUAAGUUCCGACCUGCACGAAUGGCGUAACGACUUCCCCACUGUCUCCAGCACAUGCUCAGCGAAAUUGAAUUCUCCGUGAAGAUGCGGAGUACCCGCGGUUAGACGGAAAGACCCCGUGCACCUUUACUGCAGCUUCAGAGUGGCAUUAGGAUUGAACUGUGUAGGAUAGGUGGGAGGCUUUGAAGCAUCGGCGCCAGCUGAUGUGGAGCCAUUGGUGAAAUACCACCCUGUCCAAUCCUGAUGUCUAACCACGCACCGUUAUCCGGUGCUGGGACCCUCUGUGGCGGGUAGUUUGACUGGGGCGGUCGCCUCCCAAAGAGUAACGGAGGCGCGCGAUGGUGGGCUCAGGACGGUUGGAAACCGUCUGUUAGAGCGA